rnacentral:lncRNA from 1 species
AUCCGAACCUCGACAGCUAGACCUAAAGUGUUCAGAUGCUCAAUCCGGAAACUUCAGAGAUCCAUAUGACCUAAACUUCGGGUCCCACGUACGAGGUUUUUUUCUCCGUGUAUAAGAUAAAGUCAACCCCGGCCAGAUGUAGAUGGCGACGAACACUUAAUUUUCCAUCCAGGUUGAGAGCAACGGCGCUUGGCGUUAUUCUCUCUGCAAAAAAUGAAAAUCCAUCCACGCUUUUCACGCGUGAUCAAGUUUAAAAAGCUAAAAAUGUGGAUCGAAAUAUACACACGCGGAGUGCCAUUGUUGCCGCCUGGUAGCGGACGCCCGCCCUCGCGCUGUACUUACAUUGAACUUCUUCUACGUGGAAAGAGAUCUGUAAAUCCUGGUUGAUUCGAUCUUUUUACGCAUGCGUCACAUAUGCGGGUUGAUUUUUUUCGGUAUAAAAUGUGUGCGUUGAACCUGGAUUUUUCAUCUUGAAUCGUUUCUUGAGUUGUGUCCAACAGACCUGAAUGUACACCAUGGGGAGCCUGAGCCUUCUUGUUGCGACGCUUUUCUUGAUCGAGGUUUAUGCCGGAAUCCCGGUAACGUCUAGAGUCGUGGAAGACGAGAGCAAGGCAUUAGUUCAGAAUCAGAUUGCAGUUCCUCAGGACGAGUGGACGAAGUUGGAAGUCGGUUCCGAGGCUACAACGGCUCCAGGCAAAGCUCCGGAGGCGCCUCAACACUUGGUAGCGCGGGGUGAAGGAGCAGAAGCAGGAGCACAAUUAGCACCAUCACUGAGCAAGAAAAGAUCAUGGACGAAGACCUUCUCGUUCGGGCGGAAGAGUAGGUCCGAUUCACGCUCUGGCAGCCCAUCACGCUCUGACACCUCAUCACGCGCUGGCAGCCCAGCACGCUCUGACAGCCUAUCACGCGCUGGGAGCACCUCGGGCUCCGACGACGGCUACAGCUCGGACGGCUCCAAACCCAAACUGACGAGGAGCACGGCCUUUCGCGAGGGAAGCAAGAGGUACAGAAGUUUGAAACUGGAUGAUGUCGCAUCACCAUCUCGAGCCAAAUCCCCGAGAACCCGCCGCAGCUCGUCGCGCAGCGGUUAACGCGUUACCCCCUUCACAGACACCACCCGCAGGACGAUAAUUGACAUUGAUGGACAAAGCGAUAGACAAAGAGGACAAAUGGGAUAUGGCGGGAUCCUAUCGGUGGAAGCUGGUGGGUGCAAUGGAGAUGUUGCAUGUGUGAGGGAUUCGCGAUUUGACCACUGAUUCUUAUGUAAAAAUUCGCGAGAAACACGACGGUGCCACUGGUUUUCUCUCAAAUCAUCUCCCAAGCUCAAAAAAAGCUCUCAACUCGAGGCCAAAAUGGAGGGGAUAUCCCACCCUACCCUGAGAGUCCACCUCUACAUCAAAACAAACUCUCCAUGCAAAGAUAGGGAGCACAUACAUUGGCAGGGUUGCCACUUUAUAUGGGGACUCCAAAACUGAAAACACGGCAUCACUGCUAAUGUAUUUGCUCCCUUUCUUUGCAUGGAGAGUUUGUUUUGAUGUAGAGGUGGACUCUCAGGGUAGGGUGGGAUAUCCCCUCCAUUUUGGCCUCACUUUGAGAGCUUUUUUUGAGCUUGGGAGUUGAUUUCAGAGCAAACCAGUGGCACCAUCGUGUUUCUCGCGAUCUUCUACAUAAGAAUCAAUGGUCAAAUCGCUAAUCCCUCACACAUGCAACAUCUCCAUUGAAAUUGAUAGACAAAGCGAUAGACAACGAAGACAAACGGGAUGUGGGGGGAUCCUAUCGGUGGAAGCUGGUAGUUGCAAUUGAGAAAUCGUCGCUCCUCUCACGUAGGGGCGUAUCUCUGUUUUCGCGUGACCCCCGGAAAGCGUGGAGUUCUAUGGAGAACAGGGCUCACUUGGAAAUGGAGACAUGCCCUUACGUCAGAGGAGAGACGAAAUGAGGUAGAUGAUAUGGACUAAGUAACAGCAACCCGAUAGAGAUCCUAUAGUUUGUCCAUCAUUUUCUCCCUUAGUCUAUAGAAGCCACUCAUGUCAACCAAUAGGAUUGUUCCAUACUCAAUACUAUGUCUUCUUUGUCUAUCGCUUUGUCUAUCAAUUCAAUAAUCAGCCCGUUGGACCUUGCCCGAUUCAUGUGAGUGUGUUAGUGCAUUAAGGUAUCACUGUUAAAAAUCUCGGAGUGGAAUCCGGAGUGCGGUUCACUCUGCAGCCUGUUUUGCUCCUGGGAAAUUCGGAUCGUGUGAAUAAGAGUGAGAUCCGCUCCGCCGCGGAGUCUUUAUAACUUUUCCUACCAUCCGAAAUUUGUGCUUGAUAGAUGAAAUAAAAAAAUCCAAUUUUAGUAAUUAUAGUAGUAUUGGGGUAUAGUAAUAAUAAGGUAAGUACUGGGACAUCAGUGACUUUGGAGAUAUGAAUAUAGAGAUUUUAACAGUUUUGAAUUUGAUCCCUUUAUAAUUUCUAACUUGAUGCGGAAAGCAAAGCUCCGAUUGGGAGCGGAGUGCAGAGCUCCUCUGUGGAGCAGAGUGCAGGACGCUAUCGUCGAGGGGCGGAGUGCAGAGUGCAGGGGUCCGCUGUGGAGCGGAGUGCACUUCGUAAAAAAGAGUUAGUUUCGCUCUGCAAGAGCGCGAUUCACUCCUCAAUCCUCAUUCACAUCACUCGAGUUUUCUGGGAGCAAACUUGGCGCCGGAGCCACAUGUACUCCGGCUCCCUCCGUUAUUUUGAACAGUGAAUGCGCUUUCACAGGAAAUUGUGGAAAUUGAUAAUCAAAUGAAUUUUGAAGUGAUCACGAGGAUUUGUGACUUUAAAGUUUAAAAUAAAAUUUGAUCCUUUUUCAAAUUUUACUUUUAGUGCGGACAAGAAAAGUUUCCUCAUUUUGAGUUUUCUAAUGAGAGCCCAAGUAAUCCUGAAACCAGAUGUUUCCAUCUCAAAACCAAACGAGGUAUUCUCAGUCACGGAGGUAUUGAUUGGUUGAUGUGAAUCUAUAUGCGAAGUAAAUUAACAUCGAGAUAUAGCACGGAUUCGAUUGACAUCUCUGCGCACUGACAAAUUAUUGAACGGGAAUACGAUUUUCUCACACUCUCAGCGGCCGUUCAAGUAUUAUACACAGGACAUGUUGGCCGACUUUUUGACCCCCUCCCCUAUGGCCCUAUGAGGCAUCCGUGAGACAGUCUUUCAGCCGCUUUUGAAAUUACAUAAAAUUACCCUGCCCCCUUCCCCAAUUCUUAGAAAAAAAUGAUGAGGAAAGUUUUAAAAGUAGCCGAUAAAAUCAUUUUUUCGGAAAAUUUUAAUUUUUAAUUUUUUAAUAAUAAUAAUUUUAAAUUUUUUGUAAAUGAAGCUUGUUUAUGGCACAUAGAGUGAGAAAACGUUAUGUCACCCGUAUAAGUACAUUGUAGCUAUUUCCCCCCCCCAAAUCAAUUUAGUAAUCCCUCAAAAUAAAGCUGAAGCAUUCGAGCGCGAAACAUUGAUCGGACAAAUAAAACGGUCGACUCGUUUUCGAAUACUUUCAUCCUGUCAUCGGGUUUUUACAAAGAGAUUUUUUGGAGAGAAAAAACAACUUACAUGUGCUUUUGAGGUGCAAUAGAAUGGCUCCGUUUUUUGCCAAAAAUUUAAAGCAAAAACCCGCAUUACAGCAAAGUUUGUACUAUAUUUCGAUGUUCACUUGCUGCCGUUGAAGAUUCAUUUUGAUGUCCUUGUAACGUAUCCUGAUCUUUCUUGCGCAAUGAGAGUAACAACUACCGAAGACUGAUAUUCAUCAAUUUUUCUUCUUCAGUAUGCUCGUCACAAUUUCACCUAACCACUUGAAUGUGUUAUUUUAAACAAAAGCUUGACUUUUGCGAAAUCUGUUCUUCCCAUCUCAAUAUUUUAGAUAAAUUUAAUUGUGCUUUAUUUUUCGAAGGAGUUGGUUUUGUCUGUGAAACAGGAUGUAGUAAGUUCAAAUGAUAUUCCCGAUCAAAUUCUGUGCGACUACCCUGACCUACAAUAAUUGUUUUUCAUACCGUCCAAACAUCUUAGUUACCGUGUUAUUUCCUUCCAUAUUCGUAUUGUAAGUCUCUGCGGUAACUUAGGACCUCGAGGCGUAGUUUAUUAAGUGCUUUGUAAUCUUAGUUUAUUGUCUUGCAAAUAUUGCUUGAUCUUCUUGUUGAAUUGUUUAUGUCGUUGAGUUAAUUUAGCUUAGCAUCCGUCCAAAAGGGGAUGUAAAAUGUUCAUUUUGAAACAUAAGCUGUGAGCAUACUUCACCGUUACAAUGUUUUUCUUCAAAAUCUGAAUUAUUAUGCUACUAGUGUAUAUAACCAAGCAUAGAAUGCGUGACAAAUAAACAAGCAAAUGAUUGAUUUCUGGUGCAACGUUGCUCAACCUGCCAGUUGAAAGUUGGCAACACUGUAUUCUUACCUCAAUUUAAAUGUAUGUAAAACAAUCGAUUCUUAGUGAGGCAGUUAACCUUACUUAAAAUCGAUAUUUUUAGUGAAUUUAAAUGAAGGGACGACAGCGUUGCCAACUAGCAAAAUCGCCAGUGCUCUCAACGCGGAAACGUCCAAAAUAUCGGUGAUUUAUAGGCAGUUCGGUAAGACACAUAUCGAUAAAUUUUCAUCCUCUAAAAGAACAAGCAAAUUGCAGAUCUUAGGACGCAAAAACUAAACCCUUCGAGGUUGAUUUCUCUUUUAGAAAACUGAAUAUUCAACAUAAAGAGUAUGACGGAGGAAAUAGUGAAUAGAAGUUAUGAAACUAAAUAUAUUCUUUAAAAAAUUGCCGGAUUGUCGAUUAUGAAAAUCUAAAAAACCUUUUACAUCUUUGGCUUGGACAGGCUUGAUUAUUGGAAAUUUAUGUUCUAUAGGUGUAAAUAAAUAUUAUUCCUUUAUUUCUGCAU